rnacentral:rRNA from 1 species
GACGAACGCUGGCGGCGUGCUUAACACAUGCAAGUCGAACGGUAAGGCCCUUCGGGGUACACGAGUGGCGAACGGGUGAGUGACACGUGGGUGAUCUGCCCUGCACUUCGGGAUAAGCCUGGGAAACUGGGUCUAAUACCGGAUAGGACCACUGCCUGCAUGGGUGGUGGUGGAGAGCUUUUGCGGUGUGGGGUGGGCCCGCGGCCUAUGAGCUUGUUGGUGGGGUGAUGGCCUACCAAGGCGACGACGGGUAGCCGGCCUGAGAGGGGGACCGGCCACACUGGGACUGAGAUACGGCCCAGCCUCCUACGGGAAGCAGCAGUGGGGAAUAUUGCACAAUGGGCGCAAGCCUGAUGCAGCGACGCCGCGUGAGGGAUGACGGCCUUCGGGUUGUAAACCUCUUUCAGCACCGACGAAGCGCAAGUGACGGUAGGUGCAGAAGAAGGACCGGCCAACUACGUGCCAGCCGCCGCGGUAACAC